UCAUUUCUAAAGGAAAUUUUGUUAAAAUUUUAUUUCUAAUGGAAGGAAGGACGGUGAAAAUCCUAUGGGAGGCUAUUACUGAAAGGAAGUAAGAAGGAGGUGCGGCAAGUGAUAGCAUAUGUAGGGCAUGCAGGGAUGAUGAUGAGACGUUGGAGCAUUUCCUUUGUCCGGCUUUCGCGUCUAACAGAUACAGGCACUUAGGUGGAAGCACAAUACCAGACUUGAACCAACUUAGGGGCGUGGUAUGGAAAACAAUUACGGAAUUUACUCAAAACGGCUGAACCGAUUUUCAUUACAUGUUAACAGAUGGUAGAGUUAAGUCCCCGGUGAAAGUAGGCGGAUCCUCCCCCUACAAAUUACAAUUUUCAAAAACGCCAGAUCUCGAAAAUGGGUGCACCGAUUUAAGCGAAAUUUUGUUUACAGACUAAGGGUAACCCAAAAACACGAAAUCGUGGUCAAAUAACGGUAGAGGGCGCCCUACCUACCUGCCUACCCCAAAGCCCACAAAAACUGACAUGUUCACCGGUUGGGACAGGAGGGGAAUCAACUAAAAGGUGGGUCCUCUCCACUCCCAAAGACCUCCCAGAAAUUACGUGUUUACCGAUUGGGGCAACAUGGGUAUCAAAUUAAAGGUAAG